rnacentral:lncRNA from 1 species
AAAGUAAAUUAAUAAAAAAUAUUAUUUACAAAACCCAAAACAUUAGGAGAAGAAAACAAAAUUAAACCAAAACUUACAUUCACAAAUAAAAAGUACGUUUUUCUCAUAUCGAUCUGGCUCUGUAUCUUUUGAGUUUUUGACAAAUAAUUAUUUCUUCUAGAGCUCUGCAUAUAAAAUUUACAGAAGAAAAUAUAAAUAAUCAGUACUCGAACAUGUAUAUAUUCACAUACAUACACCUAAUAUAAAUACGGUCAUUUAAUACAAGCCAACAAAUUUCUAGAGCAAAUCAGAUUCAAGCUUUAAAGGGGUAGUUUUAAUUUAAAAAAUAUUUUACUAUUAUAGUUUUUUUCUCUUAUCAUAUAUUUUAACACUCCUUAAUUUAAAUAUUAUAAAGAUAAUCUAUAUCUAUCUAUCAAUAUAUAUAAUAAAGGAGAAACAUAGGCGAUGUGACACCUCUCUAUGACCUCCAUUUGUAUUUAUCUUUUUUUCUCCUUUUUUGACAUUUUUUCCUUAUUUAAAUUAAUUAUUGUAUUGUUACAACACCAGAAGCUUGUAGGAAGGUUUUAAAUGAUGAUGAAGCCUUCAAGCCUGGCUGGCGUACUUCUCCAGCAACUAUGAAUGGUCAUGAGGCAUCUCCAGCAAGACGCAUCACUACUUCGAUCAGCUCCUGUAUAAGUAACAUAAGUCCAAAUUGUAACAACAGAUAUACAUUUUCUCAAUCAAUAACAAUCUCCGCUCUUCUGGAAAUUGUAGAACUCAAUUAGGGUUCUAGAGCUGUUCAAGAACAAGUUUCAAAUUAUAAUAUAUAUUUACCUCACCGUGACUACUGAUCCUGAGAUUGAUAUUUUCAAAUCGUUUUCUCAAGCUAACUAUAGAAGAAAACAAAAUCUGCCAAAUAUACACAGGUUCUUUUAGCUAUGUUUUUCUCAAAGCUAUACAAAGCUAAUUAAAUCAAACUCAAGUUUAUCUUGCUGCGUGCUUACCAACGAAAAUGAGAGAUCGAGUGGAAAGAAAUAGAAAGAGAGAUUACCUCUUGCUUCAUGCUUUAGAUCGAGCAGGAAGAAAGAAAAAAUGAUUCGUGCUUCAGAUCAAAUCUAUCGUAGCCAUGGAAAGAAGCUUCUAAUGAAUCCAGAGCUUCAGAUGUAAUGGAGAAAGAGAGAUUGAGUAUUUGGGAAUUUGAGAAUGAAAUAAAACUUGACUGAAGAGAGUUUUGGGUAUUUGAGGAUAAAAGAGUAAAUGAAAGUGAUAUUAAGGGUUAAUUUUUAGUAUAAAC